CCUACGGGUGGCAGCAGUGGGGAAUAUUGGACAAUGGGGGGAACCCUGAUCCAGCCAUGCCGCGUGUGUGAAGAAGGCCCUCGGGUUGUAAAGCACUUUCAGUGAGGAAGAACGCCUGGUGGUUAAUACCCAUCAGGAAAGACAUCACUCACAGAAGAAGCACCGGCUAACUCCGUGCCAGCAGCCGCGGUAAUACGGAGGGUGCGAGCGUUAAUCGGAAUUACUGGGCGUAAAGCGCGCGUAGGUGGCUUGAUAAGCCGGUUGUGAAAGCCCCGGGCUCAACCUGGGAAUGGCAUCCGGAACUGUCAAGCUAGAGUGCAGGAGAGGAAGGUAGAAUUCCCGGUGUAGCGGUGAAAUGCGUAGAGAUCGGGAGGAAUACCAGUGGCGAAGGCGGCCUUCUGGACUGACACUGACACUGAGGUGCGAAAGCGUGGGUAGCAAACAGGAUUAGAUACCCCAGUAGUC
rnacentral:rRNA from 1 species